GUUUCCGUAGUGUAGUGGUUAUCAUGUUUGUCUAACACGCAAAAGGUCCCCAGUUCAAAACCGGGUGGAAAAA
rnacentral:tRNA from 1 species